rnacentral:ncRNA from 1 species
AAUAAAGCAAUGACGAGGAGGAGUACAUACUCACCUAAAGCAAAGAGAGAAGAUGGUUGGUGUGAAUCUUCAUGAAGGAAGUAUGGAAGUAGCCUUUGAGCUGUGAACUGAAAGAAACGUAGUGAGUUUUAAGUAAGCUUCAACGGAAUAUUCCACCGUUAUAAGGAAAACAGUAUCAGCUGUAUAUACAUAUGCAACCCGUACUGGUAGAGUGCAAAGCGCAAGCUUUGAAAUUAGGUGGUAACACGGAGUAUAUUCGCCCUAAGU